rnacentral:lncRNA from 1 species
CUGAAAGCCCAGAGAAUUUAGCAAUACAAUGUCUGGGCAGGAUGCUUCUCUACACUGAGAUAUAAUAAGAACUCAUUAGGGACGAGACACUAAAAGGACAAGGUGGAACUCUUAGAAAAACAGAUAAGGAAAACACACAGUAUACAAAUCCUGGGAAUCCCAGAGGGUUAAGAAGGUACCAUAAAACUUGAACUCAACACCGUGCAACUGAAUUGGGCACCUCUACACCUCUUUUCUUGUUGCUGGUAUUUCCUGAGGGAACACUUAAUGGUAAAAAGACAACUAAUAUGUCAAAUGCGACAUUAAAUUGAUUUGUCAUGUCAAGCUCAUUUAAACCAAC